AAAUGAUAUCACACGUCAUGUAGUAGCGCUCAAAAAUUUUUUUGUAAAGUUAGCACGGCAAUAUUGAAUAUAUUUUUUUCCAAAAGAACUUUUUAUGGCUAUCUGAAUACCUACACUAAAGACAAAAAGCGCAGUUCAUUAAGCCAGAAGUGUGUUCGCACCGAUAAUUGAUUGACUACCUGGAUGGGGGUGGCGUGGGCCGGUUGUCAUGGUGACGCCCACGCGAGCUCCCCGCAUCCCUUCUCCGCGCCCCCUCGGAGCCCAGCAUUGACCCGGGAAACCUUGAACUCUACAGCUGAUCGCAGAGCUCCCGGCUUACAGAUUUUUUUUCGGCUACGUAUCUUUUAUCACUACGUCACGGAGUGUUAAUACGUAUUUAUGUGGAGUGCGUCUGAAAGUUUUUAUUGUACUUGAGUAGGUUAUUUCAUAGGCUAUUUCGUGGGAUAAUUCCUUUGUUCUCUGCCAUUUGUUGAAUAUAUUUUAUUCUAUAUAAACGUACCUAUUGAUAUGGUGGAUAAUACACAUAUUUAGUGCACAAAAAUGUA